AAUACAGCUCAAUUUCAUCUUCCAUUAAUAUUUUUCUAUUUUUCCACGUCACUCUUUCUCAAUCACCAGAACAAUUAAAGUUUUUUCUCUGUUAGCAGAUCAAACAUAAAAAUAAACAUAUGCCUAGCCCAACCAAAAUAAACACGCGUGUAAAAGCCCUCAGACACUUUAUUGGAUCCAAAAACCACCGUAAACCGCCGUAAAAAUCACCAACGGAUAAGAAUGAUGCGGAGGUGGCGGAGGAAGAAGCUGCCGAGGUUGAAGUCGAUUGAAGAGGUUGUGACUACAUUGCAGCAAGCUUCACAGUAUCCAUUAGAUCGAAUAGAUUUGUCAGCUCGUAAACUGAAAUUGCUCCCUGAAGAAUUUGAAAACAUUCAAGGUCUCCUUGUCCUUAAUCUCUAUAACAAUCAGUUGAGGUUAUAGGUUUUGGGUUGAUUGAGAAAAAACGAGGCAAAGGAAAAAUUUAAUAGCAAUUCUCCACAUGUCUCCUUGGAUGGCACUGCUGGUGGCAUUAAGGAAUUAUAAUCUCUCAAUUCAGAACUUACGAUACAUGGCUUAAGCACCUCUGGAGAAAAGGUCAAGCUCUUGCUUUUCCUUCUUGGCAUGAAUCAUCUCACAUAUGUUUGGCCAUCCUCAACAGUAGAACAGUUACCUGAAAUGGGGCGAGUGAUAUAGAAUUCUAAGAGUUUUUGUUAUUCCCGAAAUUGGGAAUAUGAAGAACCGUAUGUGCCGCAUCCUUCCAUUGCCAAGACGUCUAAUCAUUGUACAAUAGAAAUGACUGAUUUGAUACCUUCAUUCCUUAGUCAAGUCGACGUCUAUGUGUUACAAGAAUUACCUGAAGAGUUGGGAGCAUUGGAGCAUUUCCUACCCACAUGGGACAACAGUCAUCAUCAGAUGUUCCCAAGAAACGAGAUGAGGAGUCGAUAGAUAUAAAGGGCACUAAGAAUGAGACUGGAUUCUCAUGUAGCUCUCUCUGGUUUGGGAAUCCUCCUAUUUGGACAUCGAAGUUCAAACUUUGGGGCAAUUGUACUACAAGGAACAAGGAUUCAUCUUAGUUAUCCUUCCAGAUUAA